rnacentral:rRNA from 1 species
GAUGAACGCUGGCGGCGUGCUUAACACAUGCAAGUCGAACGAUGAAGCUCAGCUUGCUGGGUGGAUUAGUGGCGAACGGGUGAGUAACACGUGAGUAACCUGCCCUUAACUCUGGGAUAAGCCUGGGAAACUAGGUCUAAUACCGGAUAGGAGCGCCUACCGCAUGGUGGGUGUUGGAAAGAUUUAUCGGUUUUGGAUGGACUCGCGGCCUAUCAGCUUGUUGGUGAGGUAAUGGCUCACCAAGGCGACGACGGGUAGCCGGCCUGAGAGGGUGACCGGCCACACUGGGACUGAGACACGGCCCAGACUCCUACGGGAGGCAGCAGUGGUGAAUAUUGCACAAUGGGCGAAAGCCUGAUGCAGCGACGCCGCGUGAGGGAUGACGGCCUUCGGGUUGUAAACCUCUUUCAGUAGGGAAGAAGCGAAAGUGACGGUACCUGCAGAAGAAGCACCGGCUAACUACGUG